rnacentral:rRNA from 1 species
UUAGCUAGUUGGCGGGGUAAAGGCCCACCAAGGCGACGAUCGGUAGCUGGUCUGAGAGGAUGAUCAGCCACACUGGAACUGAGACACGGUCCAGACUCCUACGGGAGGCAGCAGUGGGGAAUAUUGGACAAUGGGCGCAAGCCUGAUCCAGCCAUGCCGCGUGGGUGAAGAAGGCCUUCGUGGUUGUAAAGCCCUUUUGUUGGGAAAGAAAAGCAAUCGGUUAAUACCCGGUUGUUCUGACGGUACCCAAAGAAUAAGCACCGGCUAACUUCGUGCCAGCAGCCGCGGUAAUACGAAGGGUGCAAGCGUUACUCGGAAUUACUGGGCGUAAAGCGUGCGUAGGUGGUGAUUUAAGUCCGUUGUGAAAGCCC